AGAAGAAGGAGAACGCCCUGUGAUUGGUUGCCGUGUUUUAUAAAGUCACAUGACUGCUGCCCUCUCUCUCAGACUGCAGUGAGAAUCUGUUGUACUUUUGAAGUUUUAUUAAACCUGCUUUAAAACUGGUCCGGAGGAGUCGCUGUCCGGGCUCUCUGCUACGGGACCGCCACUGUUUGGUGGACGUCUUAACGCGUCCCCCUCCUCCUGCAGCAUGUUGAAGGUCAGCACGGACCCCCUCCCCCAACUUUUGUUGAAGGACGACCUCUGACACUGCAGCUGUGAUGACCUCCACCUGACUACUCCAGAUACCCGCCCCUGCAGGUAAACUCACCUGGAGGUCGCUGUUUCAGUUAACAUCAAUAAAGCUAGUUUCAAUCAGAAGUGAAUUCAUAUUUAAUAAUUCCCUGCACGCUGUAAUUAAUGUCCUCCCUUUACGUGAACCUCGUGGUGUGUAUCAGGUUGUUUACUAUUUUAUUGACAUGCCUUGUUUACAUGCUGCUGUGAUGGAAAUAUCUCAAUAUGGGAUCAAUAAAGUUUAUUUAAUAUAAAACGACUUGAAUGUCAACCCUUUAAACCCUGUCAUCCUGCAGUGGGAACAGUGUUCCUGUUUGAAUAAAGUCUCCCAGCAUUUCA